rnacentral:lncRNA from 1 species
UGACUGUCAGGCCACCUUAAGCCACAGUACGGAAGAAGCUGUGCUGCCUGUGAGCCCCGUCCAAGGACGUUAAAAGAAGAAGUCAGGCCCCAAAGCCACGGUUUGAGCAAACCGUGCUGCCUGUAGCUCCGUCGUGGGGACGUAAAACCUGGGAGGCUGCAAACUGUGGAAGCUGUACGCACAGUGUAGCAGACUAGUGGUUAGAGGAGACCCCUCCCAUGACACAACGCAGCAGCGGGGCCCGAGCACUGAGGGAAGCUGUACCUCCUUGCAAAGGACUAGAGGUUAGAGGAGACC